CAUGUUAGCGUCAGGCUGCGGAAGUAGCGUCAUUCACGGAUGCAGAAGGUGGGAGAGACAGGUGAACCUGGUGGUCAGCAGGCCAGUUAUGUUGAGGUGAGAGAAGAGCAACAUCUGGCUCUUGGGAGUGAGCCGCUGUGUUUAUGGUUAGCAUGCUAACGGCGGGGCCGCUGUGUUUAUGGUUAGCAUGCUAGCGGCGGGACCGCUGUGUUUAUGGUUAGCAUGCUAACGGCGGGGCCGCUGUGUUUAUGGUUAGCAUGCUAGCGGCGGGACCGCUGUGUUUAUGGUUAGCAUGCUAACGGCGGGGCCGCUGUGUUUAUGGUUAGCAUGCUAGCGGCGGGACCGCUGUGUUUAUGGUUAGCAUGCUAACGGCGGGGCCGCUGUGUUUAUGGUUAGCAUGCUAGCGGCGGGACCGCUGUGUUUAUGGUUAGCAUGCUAACGGCGGGACCGCUGUGUUUAUGGUUAGCAUGCUAACGGCGGGGCCGCUGUGUUUAUGGUUAGCAUGCUAGCGGCGGGACCGCUGUGUUUAUGGUUAGCAUGCUAACGGCGGGGCCGCUGUGUUUAUGGUUAGCAUGCUAGCGGCGGGACCGCUGUGUUUAUGGUUAGCAUGCUAACGUAAGUUAUUUAUCUGGGACUUUCAGAGAACCGGAUCUUCAUGUUGUAGUUUUUAUGUUCUGUUUACAUGAGAACUGAAUAGACCGAGCUAAAAGCAGCAAAGCGUUCCCGAGGCAGGAAGGACAGGUUUAACACACCUGUACGCCCCUGCCAGGUGAAACAUGGACUUCCUCACCUUGUUUGGGAUCUACGUCGUGGUAGUGCUAACCUGUAUGUUCCUAGUUUGUAAAUACUCCGGCCAGCAGCACAGCCCCUUUAACACUCUCAUCAGUUAUGUUACAAAGGUAGUUUCACCGUUUACUCCUCGGUGGCUGCAGAGGUUUUCACACUGGAUCUUCCACAGACUCUUCCAUCAGAGGAGCAGCUUGUUCAUUUACCUGCACAUCCUGCUGGAAGGCGCCGUCUUCGCUGAGUUCAGCUUGGAGGUGUUUGGUUUCUGCAGGGAGAUGGACAGCAGCCUGACCAGCCUGUCGGUUCCUUACGUCCUGCUGGCCAUCAAGACCUUCUUCUUCUAUCUGUGCAUCAAGACAGACCCAGGAACAGUCACAAAGAAGAAGGCCUCCAGCCUGAUUCCCAUCUAUCCGUACGACAGGCGGCUGUUCCACCCUGGAGUUUCCUGUGAAACGUGUCAACUUAUCAAACCGGCACGCUCCAAACACUGCAGAGUCUGCAACAGGUGCGUCCAGCGCUUCGACCACCACUGCGUCUGGGUCAACAACUGCGUCGGUGCCAGGAACACGCGCUACUUCCUGCUGUACCUACUGAGCGUGUGCGGCAUGGCGCUGGCCAUCGGCCUGCUGACGGCGAACAUGUUGCUUCACGCCGUGCUGCGUUCAGGACUGCUCAGAGCCAGCUACGUCGACGAGCGCGGCCAGCAGCAGCCGGCCGGGCCGCUGUUCAUCGUUCAGCAUCUGUUCCUGACGUUUCCACGGAUCGUCUUCAUGCUGGGCUUUGUGGUCUUCGUCUUCUUCCUCCUCGCCGGUUACACCAUGUUCCACUGCUUCCUGGCUCUGGUCAACCAGACGUCCAACGAAUGGUUCAAAAGCCGAGGUUUGGCGUGUCGCCGCUGCCGCCCGGCGCCGCAGGCGGACGGCCUCUGUGGCCCCGCCCCCGACCGCUCAGAGCGGCACUGCUACAGCCGGGGGCUGCUGGGAAACCUGCGGGAGAUCUUCUUCCCUCUGAACGCCGGCCAGAAGAAAGGCAACUGAGGAAGACUCAGCCAGCCAGGACGGACCGGCGCUGUAAACGCAGCUUUACCCUCCUGGGCUUCACUAAUGACCCGGCAGAAACCAAAACAAACUUUAUACACAGCAAGUUGCUUUUAUGGGUCUGAUUUAAUUCAGUUCUGUUUAUUUUUAUAGUGUCAUUUUCUACCAAAUAAAGAGGUCUUCAACAUGGGGGUCGCAACCCCUAAGUUGGCUUUGAGA